GGCUGAGGAGACAUUUUGUGAGUUCAGGGCCUUUCUUCCGGCCUGUAUGACCCACGUGUGGAGCCCCGUUUGGGGAAGAUCUAGACCCCCUCAGGGUGCAGGGGAAAAUGGUAUAGACACUGUUGGACUCUUGCGGCACACAGUGUUGGGGGUGUCAAGGAGCUGGAGAACUUGAAUCCUUCAAAUGAGAGCUCCAGGCGGGCUGCUUAGGAAAAAAUCCACUUAUGCCACAGGAGUGAAAGCCCUGAGACUUUCUCACUGGUGAUCCUGAAACAUGUGAACCUGAGGCAGAAAAAUAAAGUACCUUUGGGUCCUUGAAGCAGCAGUGAUUUGUCCAAGCACAAGGACUAUAUGUCAGAUAUGCCCUGCUUACCACCCUACCUGUCACUAAGAUAAAUCUCAUCUCUAAUCCGGAUGCAGAGCAACGUCUUGUGCAAAGGAAAGGAAGCCCUUCCACCACCCUGAUGACACCCGUAUAAAUCACAGGCUUUAUUCCUCUGCUGUGAGGGGCAUUGCAGAUUGGAGCAACGUCGCAGACUCUCAUUGGGUGAUGCUUCAUUACUUGGUGGAAAAUCCCCAGAGCCAAAACAUUAUU